rnacentral:rRNA from 1 species
CAUGAAGCUGGAAUCGCUAGUAAUCGCGGAUCAGAAUGCCGCGGUGAAUACGUUCCCGGGUCUUGUACACACCGCCCGUCACACCAUGGGAGUCGGAAAUGCCCGAAGCCGGUGACUCAACCUUUAAGGAGAGAGCCGUCGAAGGCAGGUCUGAUAACUGGGGUGAAGUCGUAACAAGGUACC